UUGACAGCUCUGGAAACAGAUGGUCCUUUUUUUCUCCCAAGAACAGAUAGAGCCUGAUAAACAGAGGUGUUCCUUCAACUACUUCUUAGUAAGCCUUCACCCUGAUAAAGCAGUGGCUGAAAGGAGACAGGCAUAGCCACCUUUUCCAGCCAGCUCUCUGUGUACUGCUUAG
rnacentral:sRNA from 1 species